AAUGACUCUUGGCAAUGGAUAUCUUGGCUCUUGUGUCGAUGAAGAACGUAGCGAAAUGCGACACUUGGUGUGAAUUGCAGAAUCCCGUGAACCAUCCGAGUCUUUGAAUGCAAAAGUUGCGCUUGAGGCCCUUAGGUCGAGAGCACGUCUGUUUGGGCGUCAUGC
rnacentral:rRNA from 1 species